rnacentral:rRNA from 1 species
GACGAACGCUGGCGGCGUGCUUAACACAUGCAAGUCGAACGAUGACGACCGAGCUUGCUCGGUCUGAUUAGUGGCGAACGGGUAAGUAACACGUGAGCAACCCGCCCUUCACUCUGGGAUAACCUCGGGAAAUCGGGGCUAAUACCGGAUAUGAGCUCCUGUCGCAUGGCGGGUGUUGGAAAGUUUUUCGGUGAAGGAUGGGCUCGCGGCCUAUCAGUUUGUUGGUGAGGUAGUGGCUCACCAAGGCGAUGACGGGUAGCCGGCCUGAGAGGGCGACCGGCCACACUGGGACUGAGACACGGCCCAGACUCCUACGGGAGGCAGCAGUGGGGAAUAUUGCACAAUGGGCGAAAGCCUGAUGCAGCGACGCCGCGUGAGGGAUGACGGCCUUCGGGCUGUAAACCUCUUUCAGCAGGGAAGAAGCGAAAGUGACGGUACCUGCAGAAGAAGCGCCGGCUAACUACGUG